rnacentral:rRNA from 1 species
ACGCUCGACACCUACGGGGGGCAGCAGUGGGGAAUAUUGCACAAUGGGGGAAACCCUGAUGCAGCGACGCCGCGUGGAGGAAGAAGGUCUUCGGAUUGUAAACUCCUGUUGUUGGGGAAAAAGAGGAUGGUACCCAACAAGGAAGUGACGGCUAACUACGUGCCAUCAGCCGCGGUAAUCUGAGCGGGCUGGCAAGGC